AUUGAACGCUGGCGGCAGGCCUAACACAUGCAAGUCGAGCGGAUGAAGGGAGCUUGCUCCUGGAUUCAGCGGCGGACGGGUGAGUAAUGCCUAGGAAUCUGCCUGGUAGUGGGGGAUAACGUCCGGAAACGGGCGCUAAUACCGCAUACGUCCUGAGGGAGAAAGUGGGGGAUCUUCGGACCUCACGCUAUCAGAUGAGCCUAGGUCGGAUUAGCUAGUUGGUGGGGUAAAGGCCUACCAAGGCGACGAUCCGUAACUGGUCUGAGAGGAUGAUCAGUCACACUGGAACUGAGACACGGUCCAGACUCCUACGGGAGGCAGCAGUGGGGAAUAUUGGACAAUGGGCGAAAGCCUGAUCCAGCCAUGCCGCGUGUGUGAAGAAGGUCUUCGGAUUGUAAAGCACUUUAAGUUGGGAGGAAGGGCAGUAAGUUAAUACCUUGCUGUUUUGACGUUACCAACAGAAUAAGCACCGGCUAACUUCGUGCCAGCAGCCGCGGUAAUACGAAGGGUGCAAGCGUUAAUCGGAAUUACUGGGCGUAAAGCGCGCGUAGGUGGUUCAGCAAGUUGGAUGUGAAAUCCCCGGGCUCAACCUGGGAACUGCAUCCAAAACUACUGAGCUAGAGUACGGUAGAGGGUGGUGGAAUUUCCUGUGUAGCGGUGAAAUGCGUAGAUAUAGGAAGGAACACCAGUGGCGAAGGCGACCACCUGGACUGAUACUGACACUGAGGUGCGAAAGCGUGGGGAGCAAACAGGAUUAGAUACCCUGGUAGUCCACGCCGUAAACGAUGUCGACUAGCCGUUGGGAUCCUUGAGAUCUUAGUGGCGCAGCUAACGCGAUAAGUCGACCCGCCUGGGGAGUACGGCCGCAAGGUUA
rnacentral:rRNA from 1 species